rnacentral:rRNA from 1 species
GUGAGGAAUUUUCCGCAAUGGGCGAAAGCCUGACGGAGCAAUGCCGCGUGAAGGAUGAAGGCCUAUGGGUUGUAAACUUCUUUUCUCAGAAAAGAAUUAUGACGGUAUCUGAGGAAUAAGCAUCGGCUAACUCUGUGCCAGCAGCCGCGGUAAGACAGAGGAUGCAAGCGUUAUCCGGAAUGAUUGGGCGUAAAGCGUCUGUAGGUUGUUUAAAAAGUAUUCUGUCAAAGAUUAGGGCUUAACCCUAGAUAGGCAGAAUAAACUUUUAAGCUAGAGUUUGGUAGAGGCAGAGGGAAUUCCCUGUGGGGCGGUGAAAUGCGUAGAUAUCGGGAGGAACACCAAAGGCGAAGGCACUCUGCUGUGCCAAUACUAACACUGAGAGACGAAAGCGAGGGGAGCAAAUGGGAUUAGAUACCCCUGUAGUCC